UACAGAGGGCCCAAGCGUUGUUCGGAUUCACUGGGCGUAAAGGGUGCGUAGGCGGUCGGGUAAGUCUGAUGUGAAAUCUCACAGCUUAACUGUGAAACUGCAUUGGAUACUAUCCGGCUCGAGGAAUGGAGGGGAGACUGGAAUACUUGGUGUAGCAGUGAAAUGCGUAGAUAUCAAGUGGAACACCAGUGGUGAAGGCGAGUCUCUGGACAUUUCCUGACGCUGAGGCACGAAAGCCAGGGGAGCAAACGGG
rnacentral:rRNA from 1 species